AAUUGAGGGAAUGAAAUAGUAAAUUGUGCGCACAAUUUAAUUUUUUUUCUUGCAUGUCAUGUGCGGGGCUCCGUACUAAUCGGACCAGGACUAAAUGGGUUUUUUUCUUCUUUGGUCCAGACCAAAUGAACCGAACUACAAGUGUGAACGCACCCUAAGAAUGUUUCAACUCUUUUUGUCCAUACAAUGAAAGUCAAUGGGGACCAAACAAUAUUGGACUCCAUUAACUUUGAUUGCAUGGAAAAAACACUGAGCUAUUCUUCAGUAUAUUUGUGUUCCACAGAAGAAAUAGUCAUAUAGGUUUGAAAUUUCAGUCUUUUCUUCACACAAAGCUAUCAUACGACUUAAGAAUAUAGUGCAUCAGUCAUAUGGACGAAUUUUAUGGUGCUUUUUGUGUUGUUUUUGUACAAUUUGAAGCCUGGUUGUCAAUGAAUGGAAAAAAUGUGAAAAAUGUGAAAAUUCACAAAAAAAAAUUCUCUUUUUGUCCUCUACAGAAGUAAAUAACACCAUACAGCAUUCUGGAAUGACAUGUGGAAGUAAAUAAAAGUGUACAGCAUUCUGAAAUUACAUGAGGGAUUGACCUGGGUCUGAUGUUGUCACCAAAUGACACAUCCAAACCUGCGCAGGGAAACGGCAAAGGCGGGGGGUCGUUUUUUCCCCUUCGCAUUUGUGACAGGAAACUGUUUACAAAUACUCCCGUGGGAUUCGGCACUAAUGAAGAGAAACCAUGACCCCGGUACGGUCAGUUUGCAGCGGGUGCAGAGUUGGAGGGCUUCCAUUGCUCCUAACAACAGCACUCCAUUUUGCUGUGCCUGAAAUGACAAGUGAAGGUCAAUCUCUUGGACGAAAAAGUAGGGGCUGCUACCGUACCAAUCUACCCUGCUCUCCCCUCCUCUUCCCACCUCGGUUUGGCAGCUCUUUGGGGUUGGUCUGUGCCACAAUCCCGCAAAAAAAGAGAGAAAAUAUCUGAGCUUAGUCAGUCCUGUGUGAGCGUGGACAAUACGCAGGGCUCUGGGCCGCUGAUCCAAGGCCAGUGGAUCCCGUUUCAAAGGCAAAUCGAGGAUGCUCCAUUUCAGACACUCUUGAAGGCAAUUAACUCUGUGUGCGAGUGGGCCAUUCAGAGGCCUGACUGUGAUUAAAUCAAUUUGAUAAUGAUACACUCGCUUGCUGCUGUUAUGAGCUGCCUGUUUGUUUUCGCUAGAGGAGUUUCAGAACACAAUCAAACUAAAUCAUUCUGACAGCACAGAAACUAGAGACCAAAAUUACUACAGGGUUUGAUUUUUAAUUGGCAGCACGCCUCUGAUUGUUUUAGUGCAGGAAUGAAGCAUAAAAAGUCGCAUGGUUUACCCACAAGACUGUUGCUAUACAUUAUCAUAUUUUAUUACUAGUCAUAUUUUGACAUGCUGUGAUUAUCAAUUAUAAGUUUUAUUUCAGUUUCUUCUCUUAAAUACAUCAUGGAGUCAACAGUGUUUUGUGGGUUUUAGUUCUUAUCUGCUUUGAAGAAAUCUUUUUGUUAGUGUACUGCCUGAUCUAAAAAACACACACACAUAUAAUAUAUAUUAAUUAUUUAUUAUAGGAUUAUUUCAAAAGCACACACACACACACAGACAUAUCUUUUAUAUAUAUAAUAUAUAUACGGUUCUUUCUAGUUCUCAAAUCUGAUUGGCUGAGAGCUGUGCGAUAUUCUAGUGAUGACAGCACUCCUACCUUUUCACCGUUUGUAUCACUCCGCUAUAUCCACUGUAUUUUUUACAAAUACUACACUUUUUGUACCACAAACUGUAGUUUUAAGAGUUUUUUUGGGCGAGAAUGUAGUUGUUUAGACCUGAAAUAUGUGACUCAUAUUUAAUCAUAGCACCUAUAUUACAAUUUGUUUAGAUGUUUUCGGAGAUGCGAGCUCCAGGCCGGCAGCAGCCGUUCAGUGCUCGUGUACCCACCGAGAACAGCUUCAUCUCAGCCAGUGCUUCGGGGAUUUGCCGCUGGCUUUUAUAGUGGUUGAACACGAGAUAUAAUUCAUUUUGGGUACAUAAAACAGGCAAUCUUUGGUAUUUUUAAUCUAUUGCUUGUUCCUGAGCAAAUCGAAUUGAGCCAUGUUAAAUUUAAUAAUUUAAUAUUAAGUCUAUAUUUAACUUACAUCCUGUAGAGCACUGCUUUUGUACGUUUGACUGAAUUGUACAAUUGUGUUUAUUUCCUAUUGUCAUUUAUA